CCACCGAAAAGACGGCACGCACUCUGUUCUAGGGUUUCCACCGCCGCCGCUACCGCCACCAUCCUGAGAUGCCGACCGAGCUGAAGCGCACCGUGGAGGAUGGUGAUGAUUCCACUUCCACCCGUCUUCGCCAGAAAAUCGUAGUUCCAGAAAAGCCGGUCUAUCUGGUGGUGGCGCACAAGGCGGAGCCAGCGUACUCCAUCCUCAGUGUUGGCACAAUGGCGCCUAAGAUCCCACUGCACCUUAGCCAACGCGGCAUGUCGUUCACUGCCAUGGAGUCGCCGCAGGGGUCCUGGAUCGUUGUCGUGGGCGGGGACGAGCAGAUUCACACCACCAUCUUCGAUGUCACGGCCUCCAAGGAGUGGCAGGGCCCGUGGCUCCAUACCAAUAAGAUGGAGCCCAUCCUGAUUCCACACCGCGACCAGCUCUACGUGCUCUCGAGCCACCCCUCCGUGAAGAGGGGGGCGAUGGGGCUCGACUACCUUCCCUGGUUUGAGCAGAUUAAGACUUCGAGGACGGCCGCCCUAACCAAGCCGAGGUUUGCCUAGAACUCGAGCCGCCGCCCAUCUUUCCGUGCCGCAUCACGCCGCCUGAGUACAUGAACCCACCGGCUAUACGCGUUGCCUCCUACGCCAUGGUUGGCUCCCAUAUUUUGCUCUCCGUGCAACUGGACAGUGUGACCAGCCCCGACAAGGCUGCCAGGAAAUACAGGAAAUACAUGGGAACCUGUGGGUACGACGUGGAGAAGAAGGUGUGGGAGAUGGUGCAUGAGAUGAAUCUUCCUUUCCUUGGCCAGGCGGUGCCCCACGGGGACCAACUCUUUCUUGCCCGCUCCAAAGAGAGGGACGGCGCUUAUGUAGUGUACUACAUGCAUGUCGGUCAGUCAACAUCUGGGACCAGCGAGCUGUCCAUUAUUGAGGUUCCGCUGGUGAUGCCAAAGGCCUGACCUGUUCUGGGGGAACUUCUCUUCCCUUUGGGAAGGGGCCGGUUCUCUUCUGUUCACUUUCGAUCUGUCGAUGCUGAACCGGAGUCCAAGUUGGGAAAACCAAGUGAUGUACAUGGCACCUACUCUAUUGUGAAAGAAAAUUUCGAUGAUGCUAUAAUAAUGAAGCAGCAGCGGCAAGUUUACAAAGUAGCUGAUCGGUCGUGUCCAUUGGCUCAUCCUUUCCCUGUGGUUGCUGCUUUCGCAAUGGAAGCAGAAUGAGGCUGCACUCUCACAAAGACGAGGACAAGGUGUGUAGCGUUGCAAUUAUCUGCUACAGUUGAUGCAAAAUUGACUAUCGUGUAACUGCAACCAACAUGUGGUAGAUUGGCGUCAAGUUUAUACUUUUUUCUCAGUUAGCUCCAGAUCAUGCUGUCCGGAUCCAUGCUAUCAAUAAUUAUGGUUUAUAUUUAGACA